rnacentral:rRNA from 1 species
UGGUUAAAAAGCUCGUAGUUGGAUCUCGGCGGACUGAGGGCGGUUUGCUUGCUAGUAUUACUGCCCUAUAGUCCGUAGUUUUGCCAGAGGUUUCGGGGUGCUCUUAAUCGAGUGUCCCGGGAUGCUGGCAGGUUUACUUUGAAAAAAUUAGAGUGCUCAAAGCAGGCUAUUACGCCUGAAUAUUCGUGCAUGGAAUAAUAGAAUAGGAAGUCGUUUCUAUUUUGUUGGUUUUCGGAAAUCGACUUAAUGAUUAAUAGGGACAGUCGGGGGCAUUUGUAUUCAAACGACAGAGGUGAAAUUCUUGGACCGUUUGAAGACAAACUACUGCGAAAGCAUUUGCCAAGAAUGUUUUCAUUAAUCAAGAACGAAAGUUAAAGGUUCGAAGGCGAUUAGAUACCGCCCUAGUUUUAACCAUAAACGAUGCCAGCUAGCGAUCUGCGGACGUUUUUUUUGUAGACUCCGCAGGAAUCUUCCGGGAAACCAAAGCAUUUGGGUUCCAGGG